rnacentral:rRNA from 1 species
AUGGGUUCGGGGAGCCGCGCGGCGUCGUGCCUGUGCUGCCCGUUCAAGUGCCUGGCGUGCGGCCUCUUCAGCUGCCUCUGCAGCAUCCUCGUCUCGCUCCUCGUCACCGCCGGCGUCCUGGCCCUCAUCCUCUACUUCCUCUUCCGCCCGCAGAUGAUCGCCGCCACCGUCGACUCCGCCUCCCUCGCCCAGUUCCAGCUCUCCCAGGCCAACCCCGCGCUGCUCCAGUACAACCUCACCCUCGCCAUGACCGUGCGCAACCCCAACAAGCGGGUGGGGCUCUACUACGACGGCGUCGAGGCCCUCGCCCUCUUCGACGGCCAGCGCUUCGGGUUCGCGCCCCUCGACCCCUUCUUCCAGGGCCACCAGGCGUCCACGGAGGUGAAGCCGGCGUUCGGCGGCCAGCAGGUGCUGGAGGGGGACGUCACGCAGGCCAACCUCAGGUCGCAGCUGGCGGGAGGCGCGGUGGAGGUGGAGGUGAAGCUCAACGCCAAGCUCCGCGUCAAGGUGUGGGCGUUCAAGGUGCCCGGGCCCCGCGCCAGGAUCAGCUGCCCGCUCUCCCUCCCCGCCCCCGCCGCCGCAAACGCCCCCGCGUUCAAGCCCACGGAGUGCAAAGUCUGGUUCUGA